rnacentral:rRNA from 1 species
AUUGAACGCUGGCGGCAUGCCUUACACAUGCAAGUCGAACGCGAAAGCGGAGCAAUCCGCAAGUAGAGUGGCGAACGGGUGAGUAAUACAUCGGAACAUUUCCAGUAGCGGGGGAUAACCUGUCGAAAGAUAGGCUAAUACCGCAUACGCCCUAAGGGGGAAAGCGGAGGACCGCAAGGCUUCGCACUAUUGGAGUGGCCGAUGUCGGAUUAGCUAGUUGGCGGGGUAAAAGCCCACCAAGGCUACGAUCCGUAGCUGGUCUGAGAGGACGAUCAGCCACACUGGAACUGAGACACGGUCCAGACUCCUACGGGAGGCAGCAGUGGGGAAUUUUGGACAAUGGGCGCAAGCCUGAUCCAGCCAUGCCGCGUGAGUGAAGAAGGCCUUCGGGUUGUAAAGCUCUUUCGGUGGGGACGAAACGGUUCGUGCUAAUACCAUGAACUAAUGACGGUACCCGAAGAAGAAGCACCGGCUAACUACGUGCCAGCCGCCGCGGUAA